AACGAACGCUGGCGGCAUGCCUAACACAUGCAAGUCGAACGAGACCUUCGGGUCUAGUGGCGCACGGGUGCGUAACGCGUGGGAAUCUGCCCCUCGGUUCGGAAUAACAGUUAGAAAUGACUGCUAAUACCGGAUAAUGACGAAAGUCCAAAGAUUUAUCGCCGAGGGAUGAGCCCGCGUAGGAUUAGCUAGUUGGUGGGUAAAGGCCUACCAAGGCGACGAUCCUUAGCUGGUCUGAGAGGAUGAUCAGCCACACUGGGACUGAGACACGGCCCAGACUCCUACGGGAGGCAGCAGUGGGGAAUAUUGGACAAUGGGCGAAAGCCUGAUCCAGCAAUGCCGCGUGAGUGAUGAAGGCCUUAGGGUCGUAAAGCUCUUUUACCCG
rnacentral:rRNA from 1 species